rnacentral:rRNA from 1 species
GGGAGGGGAUUAGUGGCGAACGGGUGAGUAACACGUGGGCAAUCUGCCCUGCACUCUGGGACAAGCCCUGGAAACGGGGUCUAAUACCGGAUACUGACCCGCUUGGGCAUCCAAGCGGUUCGAAAGCUCCGGCGGUGCAGGAUGAGCCCGCGGCCUAUCAGCUUGUUGGUGAGGUAAUGGCUCACCAAGGCGACGACGGGUAGCCGGCCUGAGAGGGCGACCGGCCACACUGGGACUGAGACACGGCCCAGACUAAUACGGGAGGCAGCAGUGGGGAAUAUUGCACAAUGGGCGAAAGCCUGAUGCAGCGACGCCGCGUGAGGGAUGACGGCCUUCGGGUUGUAAACCUCUUUCAGCAGGGAAGAAGCGAAAGUGACGGUACCUGCAGAAGAAGCGCCGGCUAACUACGUGCCAGCAGCCGCGGUAAUACGUAGGGCGCGAGCGUUGUCCGGAAUUAUUGGGCGUAAAGAGCUCGUAGGCGGCUUGUCACGUCGGUUGUGAAAGCCCGGGGCUUAACCCCGGGUCUGCAGUCGAUACGGGCAGGCUAGAGUUCGGUAGGGGAGAUCGGAAUUCCUGGUGUAGCGGUGAAAUGCGCAGAUAUCAGGAGGAACACCGGUGGCGAAGGCGGAUCUCUGGGCCGAUACUGACGCUGAGGAGCGAAAGCGUGGGGAGCGAACAGGAUUAGAUACCCUGGUAGUCCACGCCGUAAACGGUGGGCACUAGGUGUGGGCGACAUUCCACGUCGUCCGUGCCGCAGCUAACGCAUUAAGUGCCCCGCCUGGGGAGUAC